UUCAGAGGGCCCCGGACCUUUGCCACCUCCAUCUGACUUUUUGCUUUCAGUUUGGUACCAAAGCCGUGCAGCACGCCUGUCUGUUGUUUGUUUGACUGUUGGUGUUGUUUGUUUUCUCUGUGUCCUAAUCUUCCUUAGAACUAACAUGGGACAGUCUCUACCUUUGUGAAAUCAGAGCCUUCUAAGAAACCUGUCCUCCCGGCAGACCCAAACUCCCCUCUCAUAGAUCUUCUCUCUGACAGGCCCGGCUGAAACGGAGGAGGCAGAGCCGCCGGCGGGCCACAGUCUGAUAAGGGUUUCUCCCCUGUCGCAGGGAGAUUGCGCAAUAAGCGCUAGGUGAUGCCAGAUUCAACCUCCCAGACUUUCCCACUUAGACAGGGAACCGGUGGCCAGACCCAAUACUGGCCGUUUUCAGCAGCUGACAUUUACAAUUGGAAACAACACAACCCUUCUUUCUCCAAAGAUCCGGUGGCACUCACCGACCUAAUAGAAUCUGUUUUACUUACCCACCAGCCUACUUGGGAUGACUGCCAACAGCUCUUACAGGCCCUCUUAACCUCAGAAGAAAAACAAAGAGUGUUCCUAGAGGCCAGAAAGCAUGUUCUGGGAGAUGAUGGGCGUCCCACCCAGCUGCCUGAGGAAAUUGAUGCUACAUUCCCACUUAAGAGACCAAACUGGGAUUUUAAUACAGCUGAAGAAAUGCCUGAUGUCUAGAGUGUGCCUGUGACUGAGCCUCCAGCUUAUGUGGGACUUUGUCCGGGAUCCAGACUUCCAAUUCCUACAGGACCAGAGAGUACCUUGCAACCACAUUUCCAGACCAGUGAUGGUGACAUCUUUCCUGGCCUGAGAUAUACUGGGGUCCAAUUUUUGGAUUACCAGAGCUUCUAUUUUAGAUAUGACAGGCCCACCAAGGAUCCUACUGCAUACAGAAGGU